UACAGAGGUCUCAAGCGUUGUUCGGAUUCAUUGGGCGUAAAGCGCACGUAGGCGGCCAAGUCAGUCGGUUGUGAAAGCCCUCGGCUCAACCGAGGAAGUGCUACCGAUACUGCUUGGCUUGAGGUCCGGAGGGGAGAGUGGAAUUCCCGGUGGAGCGGUGAAAUGCGUAGAUAUCGUAAGGAAGACCAGUGGCGAAGGCGAGUUCCUGGACAGUUGCUGACGCUGAGGCACGAAGGCCAGGGGAGCAAACGGG
rnacentral:rRNA from 1 species